GCAUUUCUUCCCAGCUCUGCUUCUAGGCCACUCCAGCCCAUCAGGAGCCCCCUUGCCUCCUCGAAGGUGAAUGUGUGUAUAAGGCACUUUCAGCCGCGGCUUCUUGGCACAGACAGAACAUCAGCUCCGCCGCAGACGCCGCCUGAGGGAACAGCGCUGCUACCAAACCCUCCCCGUGCUUGUCAAUGGUUUCCUAAUGGACGGCUUCCGCGAGACUCUGUCCUCCAGGUCAGCCGCUGCACGUCCACUCGAGGCUGCUGGAGGCCACGCUCCUGCGCCUUCUUCCCUGCUCCGGAAACGGACACUGGGACUGCGUGAGCCUGGAGGAAGUCGGCCAGACAGGAAGUAAACGCACUUGGGAAGUGCCUGCGAUGGGAAACGCUGCUGACAUAAUGGGAGUUUACACUGCUGGUGUGUCAGAGAACACGGAUUCCUUCCUGGACCCGCAGCCAGUUUGACCCAUGGCUGCAUCUUCUCUGGUCUCUGAUCUGGUUGAUCCAAGUGGUGUUAGACCUACCCCACUCACUGGGAGCCGCAUCAUUGUGAGAUGUCCUCCCAGGUGUCCUGAGCCCCAGAGUAUGAUACAGUACUGGGAUGUGCUUGCAGCUACCCUGGCACCCACCAGCCUGGUCACAGAGCCAAAGAAGAGGAGCCAGGAAAUGCACGGGACUGAAAUAAUCCAGGCAUAUCCGUGA
rnacentral:lncRNA from 1 species